CGAACGGGUGAGUAACACGUGAGUAACCUGCCCACAACUUUGGGAUAACGCUAGGAAACUGGUGCUAAUACUGGAUAUGUGCUCCUGCUGCAUGGUGGGGGUUGGAAAGCUCCGGCGGUUGUGGAUGGACUCGCGGCCUAUCAGCUUGUUGGUGGGGUAGUGACCUACCAAGGCGGCGACGGGUAGCCGGCCUGAGAGGGUGACCGGCCACAUUGGGACUGAGAUACGGCCCAG
rnacentral:rRNA from 1 species